AUGUACCCCUUUGAGAGGUUCAUGGGAAUCCUAAAGAAAUAUGUCCGUAACCGUGCUAGGCCAGAAGGAAGCAUCUCCAUGGGCCAUCAAACAGAGGAUGCCAUCGGGUUUUGCGUUGACUUUAUUCCUGGCCUUAAGAAGAUAGGUCUCCCUAAAUCGCGGUAUGAGGGGAGACUGACUGGAAAAGCCACACUUGGAAGGGACUCAAUAAUUUGCAGGGACGAAUAUUCUUGGUCUCAAGCACACUACACAGUUCUACAUAACUCUACCUUGGUGACCCCGUAUGUCGAUGAACACAAGAACACUCUGCGCUCCAAACACCCGGAGUAG
rnacentral:rRNA from 1 species